rnacentral:pre_miRNA from 12 species
UCGUGGUGGCUUAGUGGUCGUAUGUAUGACGUCAUUUGCUUGAUUAUUUAGGAGUGACAUCAUAUGUACGGCUGCUAAACUGCUGCAUGAUA